rnacentral:rRNA from 1 species
UACAGGGGGAGCAAGCGUUGUUCGGAUUUACUGGGCGUAAAGGGCGCGUAGGCGGCCACCGCAAGUCGACUGUGAAAUCUCCGGGCUUAACCCGGAAAGGUCAGCCGAUACUGCGGGGCUAGAGUGCAGAAGGGGCAACUGGAAUUCUCGGUGUAGCGGUGAAAUGCGUAGAUAUCGAGAGGAACACCUGCGGCGAAGGCAGUCCCCUGGGCCUGUACUGACGCUCAUGCACGAAAGCGUGGGGAGCAAACAGG